rnacentral:rRNA from 1 species
AUGUGGGCGCUCCGCCGAGCCGCCAACCCCCUCAGGGUCAGUGCCCGCCAGGUUGCAAGUGUCCGGAGUUGCGCAAGCCUUGACGUACUUCUAAGUGCUGAUACUAAGAAUGCAGAACGACACUGUGAGCAGGGUUGCCAGAAAUCGUGUUGCUGCAGUACACCAAAGCCACCAGCCUGUCGGUUGCCGUUCUCAUCUGGCUGGUCCAUGUGGAGUAGGAGUUUCUCUUCUCAGACUAGUGCAAAUUCUGGUGACAAGGUCGAUGACUUGGAGGACGGGUUUUCUGAUCUCGAGGUUCCGCCAGAAGCUGAUAAAAAGGAUGUGGAGUUGCCAUCUGAAGAGAGUUCUGAUGAUGAUGCUGUUGAUGGAAUUGGCUUGUUGGGAGAUGAUGCUGAUGCAAAACCUGACAAGGAGCCAAUGAAGAAGGCCUCCCAGUCCCCCCUUCUCAAGGUGAUGUUGGAAGCUCCAAGGAAUGGUGUCUCUGGAACACUGAAGAAAUGGCUUGAUGGUGGCAAUACAUUUGAUAGAAGUGAUAUCUUUUAUGUCAUUAUGAACCUUAGGAAGCGGAAGUUCUACUUCAAAGCAUUGCAGCUCCUGGAGUGGCUUGAAGAUUCCAAAGUAAUUGAUCUGGGAGAACGUGAUUAUGCUUCGCGCCUUGAUUUGGUGGCUAAAGUUCAUGGUGUUUACAAAGCUGAAAAGUAUAUAGAUAGCAUUCCUAUAUCUCAUAGGGGUGAGAUUGUAUACAGAACUCUUUUAGCUAAUUGUGUGUCUGAAGCAAAUGUGAAGAAGUCAGAGGAAGUCUUCAAUAAGAUGAAGGAUCUUGGGUUCCCAGUUACAGUAUUUGCUAUCAAUCAGCUUCUGCUACUGUACAAAGGGGUGGACAAGAAGAAGAUUGCUGAUGUUCUCGCGAAGAUGGAAAAGGAGAAUGUGAAACCAUCACUCUUCACUUAUAAGCUCCUUGUGGACACCAAAGGUGCUAUAAGAGAUAUUGCAGGUAUGGAAAAAGUUAUUGAGUCGAUGCAAGCAGAAGGUGUUGAGCCAGAUCUUCUGUUUCAAGCAACAAUUGCAAAACACUACAUAUUUGCUGGUCACCGUGAGAAAGCUGAAGCAAUUUUGGAGUCAAUGGAGGGUGGUGAUAUCAAAGGAAACCGCAAUGCCUGCAAGAUUUUAUUACCUUUGUAUGCUUUUCUUGGAAAGAAGGAUGAUGUUGAGCGGAUGUGGCAGGUUUGCGAGGCCAAUCCUCGUCUAGACGAGUGCUUGUCUGCUAUAGAAUCUUUUGGUAGGCUUGGAGACGUUGAACGGGCAGAGGAAGUCUUUGAGGAUAUGUUCGCGACAUGGAAAACACUCUCCUCCAAAUUCUACAAUGCUUUGAUGAAGGUGUAUGCUGAUCAAAACCUUUUCGAGAAGGGUAAGGAGCUAGCAAAGCGCAUGGAUGAGGAUGGUUGCAGACUAGGCAUCUCAACAAUUGAUUCGCUGGUGAAGCUCUAUGUGGGCGCUGGAGAGGUGGAUAAAGCUGAAUCUAUACUGCACAAGCUGUCUAAAAGUAACAAGAUGAAGCCUCAGUACAGCUCAUACCUCAUGUUGCUUGAUACUUAUUCAAAGAAAGGGGACAUCCACAAUUCAGAGAAGGUGUUUGACCAGUUGCGGCAGAUGGGUUAUAAUGGGAGGGUUAGGCAGUACCAGUUGCUGCUAAAUGCAUAUGUGCAUGCAAAGACACCUGUUUAUGGAUUUAGAGAGAGGAUGAAGGCUGAUAACAUUUUCCCCAAUAAUGUCAUUGCGUCUUUACUUGCUGCUACCGAUCCAUUCAACAAGAAGACAUUAUCUGACAUGCUCGAGUAG